GAAAAAUAUAGAAUGAAUGAGAGGAGCAAGGUGUGGAUGUAGAAAUGAAGAAAUAUGGGAGAGAGAAAUAAGAAAGCUUAAGAAAGAAAUAAAGAGGACUGGGUCAAAAUAGUUUAGGUAUAUAAAAAAAUCAGAUGGACUAAAGAGUUAAUAAAAACUAAAUUACAAUGACUAAUUGAUAUAUUUUUUAAAAAUAUAAGGACCAACUAGUUAGUUUUAAUAAAAU
rnacentral:misc_RNA from 1 species